UACGUAGGGGGCAAGCGUUGUCCGGAUUUAUUGGGCGUAAAGAGCGUGUAGGCGGCUUUACAGGUCCGUUGUGAAAACUCGAGGCUCAACCUCGAGACGCCGGUGGAAACCGUAAGGCUAGAGUCCGGAAGAGGAGAGUGGAAUUCCUGGUGUAGCGGUGAAAUGCGCAGAUAUCGGGAAGAACACCGGUGGCGAAAGCGCUCUGCUAGGCCGCAACUGACACUGAGGGACGAAAGCUAGGGGAGCGAAUGGG
rnacentral:rRNA from 1 species